rfam:Camelus ferus unplaced genomic scaffold scaffold1360, whole genome shotgun sequence.
GACGGUAUAGCUCAACUGAUAGAGUACAUGCUUGGCAUGUACGAGGUCCUGGGUUCAAUCCCCAGCACCUCCA